UACGUAGGGGGCAAGCGUUGUCCGGAAUCAUUGGGCGUAAAGAGCGUGUAGGCGGUUCGGUAAGUCGGCUGUGAAAGUCCAGGGCUCAACCCUGGGAUGCCGGUCGAUACUGCCGGACUAGAGUUCGGAAGAGGCGAGUGGAAUUCCCAGUGUAGCGGUAGAAAUGCGCAGAUAUUGGGAAGAACACCCGUGGCGAAGGCGGCUCUCUGGAACGCAACUGACGCUGAGACGCGAAAGCGUGGGGAGCAACAGGAUUAGAAACC
rnacentral:rRNA from 1 species